rnacentral:rRNA from 1 species
UACGUAGGGUGCAGGCGUUAAUCGGAAUUACUGGGCGUAAAGCGUGCGCAGGCGGUUUGCUAAGACAGGUGUGAAAUCCCCGGGCUUAACCUGGGAACUGCGCUUGUAACUGGCAAGCUAGGGUGUGGCAGAGGGGGGUGGAAUUCCAGGUGUAGCAGUGAAAUGCGUAGAGAUCUGGAGGAACACCGAUGGCGAAGGCAGCCCCCUGGGCUAACACUGACGCUCAUGCACGAAAGCGUGGGGAGCAAACAGG